UUUUGCGUGCCCGCAGCAGAUAACUGGACUUGAAGCAUUGAAGACGCUAGGGAUCACGUGAGAAAACCACACACGAAAAAUGUUCGCAUAAAAUACGGCAAAAAUGUAAAUGUAAUGUCGCUGUUGUGGACUUGAAGCAUUGAAGAUGUUCGGGAUCACCAGAUCUCCAGAUCCAGUGAGAAAACCACACACGAAAAAUUUUCGCAUAAGAGACAAGUAAGGUUGUCUGAACCUAAUUAUUCCUCUAUUAAUGUAGAACUAUUAUCUGUAUUUUUUUAUUUUUACCAGUUUGAUUUUGGUUGAUUUCUAUUUUGCGAUAAGCAUGUUUUCUUGGAUCGAAGGAAAGUAACAAAAGUAAAAUGAAAGUAAUGUAUCAAAGCAAACUGCUAUACCUUACUGUAUUUCUACACAACAAAAUAGUCUAUCAAUGUAAAACUAUUAACUGCAUUUUGUUGUUGGGACCAAUAUUAAAAUUGGUAAUUGCUUAUAGAAUUUUUGUUAAGAGCAUAUUGCGAAACACUUUAAUUGAUCGAGAACAAAAUGAAAGGGCAAAAUCCACAGAGCGGGAACAUGUAAGAAAUAUAAAAUAAUAAGUGCAGUUUUUUAGAUAAAGGUUUGUGUUUUAUCUCACAGUCACACAUCAUUGCGACAACGGCAAAAAUGCUGAAAAUGUUAAUUUAAAUUUUUAGUCCGUAGUUAUAAGUUAUAUUUUAAUUUAUUUAUUAUCCAUUUAAUUAGUUUUAGAUUAGUUGUAAGUAACUCUUGUUGUUGAAAAAUUACAUCAGUAAAUACUUAAAUAUGUGAAUAAACUAAUAAGA